rnacentral:rRNA from 1 species
AUACGGAGGACGCGAGCGUUAUCCGGAUUCAUUGGGUUUAAAGGGUGCGCAGGCGGCCGUGCAAGUCAGCGGUGAAAGCCCGGGGCUCAACCCCGGAAGUGCCGUUGAUACUGCAUGGCUGGAAUGCGGUCGAGGCGGGCGGGAAGUGGGGUGUAGCGGUGAAAUGCGUAGAUGUGUCACAGAACGCCGGUAGCGGAGGCAGCACGCCAGGCCGGCAUGGCGGCUCGGGCACGAAAGCGGGGGGACCGAACAGAGUUAGAUCCCCUGGUAGUCCACGCAGUAAACGAUGGGCGCUCGUCGUCGGCGGCAGACAGUCGGCGGCCAAGCGAAAGCGAUAAGCGCCCCACCUGGGGAGUACGGUCGCAAGGCUGAAACUCAAAUGAAUUGACGGGG